rnacentral:rRNA from 1 species
CCUACGGGGAGCAGCAGUAGGGAAUAUUGCUCAAUGGGGGAAACCCUGAAGCAGCAACGCCGCGUGGAGGAUGAAGGUUUUCGGAUUGUAAACUCCUUUUGUUAGAGAAGAUAAUGACGGUAUCUAACGAAUAAGCACCGUCUAACUCCGUGCCAGCAGCCUCGGUAAUACGGAGGGUGCAAGCGUUACUCGGAAUAACUGGGCGUAAAGGGCGCGUAGGCGGGGUAGCAAGUCAGAUGUGAAAUCCUCUGGCUUAACCAUAAAACUGCAUUUGAAACUGGUAUUCUAGAGUAUGGGAGAGGUAGGUGGAAUUCUUGGUGUAGGGGUAAAAUCCAUAGAGAUCAAGAGGAAUACUCAUUGCGAAGGCGACCUGCUAGAACAUAACUGACGCUGAUGCGCGAAAGCGUGGGGAGCAAACAGGAUUAGAUACCCCAGUAGUC